rnacentral:rRNA from 1 species
UACGUAGGGACCAAGCGUUGUUCGGAUUUACUGGGCGUAAAGGGCGCGUAGGCGGCAAUUCAAGUCAUCUGUGAAAUCUCCGGGCUUAACUCGGAACGGUCAGAUGAUACUGCUUUGCUAGAGUGCGGAAGGGGCAAUCGGAAUUCUUGGUGUAGCGGUGAAAUGCGUAGAUAUCAAGAGGAACACCGAUGGCGAAGGCAGAUCUCUGGGCCGUAACUGACGCUGAGGAGCGAAAGCAUGGGGAGCGAACAGG